UACAGAGGUCUCGAGCGUUGUUCGGAUUCAUUGGGCGUAAAGCGCACGUAGGCGGAUUGUUAAGUCAGGGGUGAAAUCCUGGAGCUCAACUCCAGAACUGCCUUUGAUACUGGCGAUCUCGAGUCCGGGAGAGGUGAGUGGAACUGCGAGUGUAGAGGUGAAAUUCGUAGAUAUUCGCAAGAACACCAGUGGCGAAGGCGGCUCACUGGCCCGGUACUGACGCUGAGGUGCGAAAGCGUGGGGAGCAAACAGG
rnacentral:rRNA from 1 species